GGAAGGGUGGCCGAGUGGUUUAAGGCACCGGUCUUGAAAACCGGCGUGCCUGCAAGGGUACCGUGAGUUCGAAUCUCACCCCUUCCGCCA
rnacentral:tRNA from 1 species